rnacentral:rRNA from 1 species
CCUACGGGAGGCAGCAGUGAGGAAUAUUGGUCAAUGGGCUUACGCCUGAACCAGCCAAGUCGCGUGAGGGAAGACUGCCCUAUGGGUUGUACACCUCUUUUAUAAGGGAAUAAAGUGCGGGAUGUGUCCCGCUUUGCAUGUACCUUAUGAAUAAGGAUCGGCUAACUCCGUGCCAGCAGCCGCGGUAAUACGGAGGAUCCGAGCGUUAUCCGGAUUUAUUGGGUUUAAAGGGUGCGUAGGCGGCCUGUUAAGUCAGCUGUGAAAGUCUGUGGCUCAACCAUAGAAUUGCCGUUGAUACUGGGAGGCUUGAGUAUGUUUGAGGCAGGCGGAAUGCGUGGUGUAGCGGUGAAAUGCUUAGAUAUCACGCAGAACCCCGAUUGCGAAGGCAGCCUGCCAGGCCAUGACUGACGCUGAUGCACGAAAGCGUGGGGAUCAAACAGGAUUAGAGACCCCGGUAGUC